CCUACGGGUGGCAGCAGUGAGGAAUAUUGGUCAAUGGCCGAGAGGCUGAACCAGCCAAGUCGCGUGAGGGAAGACGGCCCUACGGGUUGUCAACCUCUUUUGUCGGGGAGCAAAGCGAACCACGUGUGGUUCAUUGUGAGUACCCGAAGAAAAAGCAUCGGCUAACUCCGUGCCAGCAGCCGCGGUAAUACGGAGGCUGCGAGCGUUAUCCGGAUUUAUUGGGUUAAAGGGGUGCGCAGGCGGAGGUGCAAGUCAGCGGUCAAAUGGUGGGGCUCAACCCCGUACUGCCGUUGAAACUGCAUCCCUUGAGUGCGCGAGAAGUAUGCGGAAUGCGUGGUGUAGCGGUGAAAUGCAUAGAUAUCACGCAGAACUCCGAUUGCGAAGGCAGCAGACCGGCGCGCAACUGACGCUCAUGCACGAAAGCGUGGGUAUCGAACAGGAUUAGAUACCCUAGUAGUC
rnacentral:rRNA from 1 species